rnacentral:rRNA from 1 species
AUUGAACGCUGGCGGCAUGCCUUACACAUGCAAGUCGAACGGCAGCACGGGAGCAAUCCUGGUGGCGAGUGGCGAACGGGUGAGUAAUAUAUCGGAACGUGCCCAGUCGUGGGGGAUAACGCAGCGAAAGCUGUGCUAAUACCGCAUACGAUCUAAGGAUGAAAGCGGGGGAUCGCAAGACCUCGCGCGAUUGGGGCGGCCGAUAUCAGAUUAGCUAGUUGGUGGGGUAAAGGCCCACCAAGGCGACGAUCUGUAGCUGGUCUGAGAGGACGACCAGCCACACUGGAACUGAGACACGGUCCAGACUCCUACGGGAGGCAGCAGUGGGGAAUUUUGGACAAUGGGCGCAAGCCUGAUUCAGCAAUGCCGCGUGCAGGAUGAAGGCCUUCGGGUUGUAAACUGCUUUUGUACGGAACGAAACGGCCCUUUCUAAUACGGGGGGCUAAUGACGGUACCGUAAGAAUAAGCACCGGCUAACUACGUGCCAGCCGCCGCAGUAAAAC